GCUUCUCACCUGUGUGGGCACGCAGGUGUCGGUUCAGAAUACACUGAUGUGAGAAGCUCUGAGGGCAUGAAGGGCAUUGAAAUGGCUUCUCGCCUGUGUGGGUGCGCAGGUGCUGGUUCAGAGUACUCUUUUGUGAGA
rnacentral:lncRNA from 1 species